rnacentral:lncRNA from 1 species
GCUGGAGUGCGCACCGAGCGGCAGUGACUUCGCCGCUGCUGUAGUUCCCCGGCUGGAUGCGGUGACUGGUGCCAGUGCUCAGGCGCCCGCUGCCCUUGACCUCCCGCCCCGCGAGCCCUAACUCAGCGCAGGAGGACCGGCUGCCGCCGCCGCCGCCGCCAGAUCCACACAACUUAAAGAUCUGCUGUCGAGUGAAUGGGGAAGUGGUCCAGAGCAGCAACACCAACCAGAUGGUAUUCAAGACAGAGGACCUGAUAGCCUGGGUGUCCCAGUCUCUGAAGGUCCAGACAGCACUGAUGGCGAGCUUUGGGUCCGCACACUCUGGAAAGAAGAGAGAAGUGAAGGCUCUAGGUAGGGAGAACAGAGAGCCACUGGGCACAGGCUUCUCUCCUCUUGUUUAAAGAAGCCCAGGGAGGGAUAGAGCUCUGACUGGACAGAAGACUGUACUCUGCAGCCUGCCUUCCUAGAGUUGGGUUGUCACUGUCCUGCAGGGGGCAGCAGCCACCAGCAAACACCACUGCCUGCAGGAGCCUGGGCUGACUGGUUGGGACUCACCGAAGAUCCCUUCUUCCUGGGCGGUGGCCUGCAGGAACUGGAACAGCUGCUCUGUGUAGCCCAACUCUGCAGAAGAGAGAAGACCUAGACCUGGCACCCAGCACAGACACAGCCUGCCUCGAGGACUGCAAGGGAACAAGGGCCUCACCAGUAUCGGGCAGCUGGCCCUGGCGGAGGAAGGCGGCAGCCUGUGCAAAGGCCUUGAGCAGCGGGCUGAGCAGGCGGCAGAGGAAAAGAAAGAAAUCUGGGCAGUGUGACUGCUGGCUGAGCUGGAGGGGACAGGCCGGGGUGAGUGCAGCUCCCCACCGCCUCCCUACCACCUCCCUCCAGGGGCAGCUUUUUGAAACACACCCUGAAGUACCGGCCGUCAGCCUCUCCGAAGUCAUCACUGUCACUAUCAGUAAAGUCCCCACUCGGUUUCCACAGCA